UUUAAACCAGCCUAAUGCUUUCCCCUUAAUCCCUACAGUAUGUUCAAGUCUUCCUAGGAGAAUAUAGUGAUCAACUACUGUAAUGGAGGUUCCACUUUUUAAACUUGAGGCUGGUGAAGAAUUUACACUCGCCACUGUGUGUCGAUCAGGACAAACUGAGGAGGGGAUUUUCUGGUUUGAGUCUCUCUUUAAUUGCAGUUCAGCAGCAGUACAAACAUGCAGUAUGAGGUAGGCUUGGAGAUGGAGAGGUGGGUAGGGUAAUGGUACGAUUGGGUAUGUGUGUGGUCUAAACAUAACAGAAAUAAGCCCACAUUGUCACCUCAUACAUCUAACAAAUGCUACAACCGAGAGCUAACAGGCUUACUCACAUUAAGUCGCAAUAAACCGGCAACUAGUACAAUACAACAUCAGCAUGUAAUACAGACCGAACUACAAAGUAAACUGCCUUAAUACAUUUAACAACAAACACUUACAUUAAGUCAGGAACGCAAAUUGACCCCAACCGGAGCCGUCAGGCUGACGUCUCCUCCCUCAGAGCAACAGUGCUUCUGCAGUUGCUGCAUGUACUAUAGGAACUUGCCACCAGGUGGCGCACCUUCCCAAACCAAAGUAAUAAACACUCGAGCCUUUGUAACAACUACAUUUCUCUGUGAAAUGUUAAGCCGGUUUUCUUUUUAGGGGCUGCAAAGUGGCACAGAGGGUAGCGCUGUUGCCUUGCAGCAAGAAGGUUCCGGGUUUGAGUCCAACCCUGGGUCUUUCUGCAUGGAGUUUGCAUGUUCUCUCUGUGCAUGCGUGGGUUCUCUCCGGGUACUCCGACUUCUUUCUAUUUGGAUGUCAGUUCAUCUGGUUAGGAAGAAGGAUUAAAGUUCUUAGGAUAUGCAAAGAGAGUGUGUCCAAGUUAAUGUUCUUAAUGUUCCGGAAUGAAAGGAGCCGUGGGGUCUUUGCUGAGAAAAGACGAGGGGAAAUGUUAAAUGAGGUUGUUUCCAUAAUUUUUUGAGGUCAGUAACGUCAUUUUUUGGGGCCAAGUAUAUUUUUAUUUCUUCUUCCAGAUUUAUAUUCUAAAAGCUGCAACUCAUGAAAAUACAGCAGGUUCAAUAAAUUAAGUUAUAUUCUGAUGUAUUUGGGUGAGUUUUCGAAGCUUGUUUGUUAUUGUUGACAGAAAAAGUUUUCAUGACUGCCACACAUUUUCACAGCAGGGUAAAGGUUUAAUGGUUAAAAGGUGUUAAAUGACAAUAGUUUGUCUAAGUCUAAGUUUACGCGAAUUACUGCACUUUUCACGCAACGCUCAUUUUUAUAAAUCCAGAUGUGGGGGUUGAACUUUGUGCGCAGACAUACUUAUAAAUGUGUCCCCUAAUGUAGGAUAUGUCCCUGGAAAAUAGGAAGAAACUAGACAAAAGUACAAAUCUUAGGUCUCAUCUCUCUCCAGCGGAUUGUCAGUAUCUAAACGUCAUUUGUAAAAAAAAAAAAAAAAAGUCAUGACAAAGACCUGGUACAGGACCUGAGAGAUGCAUCAACUUUCAGCUGAUUAUUUACUAUAUGUCAGUGGUGAGAUGCACUCUGUUGAGGCUGUUUCAUUACAGGGAGGACAAUAUCGUACUCUAUUUAAAGAAUAUAAAGUAAUUUUUUUUAAGACUGUUUCAUAAUUAAUUUAUGGGUUUCCAAUAUUGGGACCCUGAUUUGUUUCAAUAUAUAAAUUCUUUCCAUGAUAACUUAACAGCAAGGUAAGUGACGUGCUUCGUCACAGCAAACCUUCACUGGAAUAUGAAAAAGAGACCUGUUUCUCUUGUCUCUAAAAGCUGAAAGCAUUAAAAAAAAAAGUUUAAUAUGACACUGAAACAUCACAUCUCAUGUAAGCCAGGUUUUUAGAAGUACAGUCAUGAUGACCACAAGCAGGAAAAGCUUCAAUGAAGAAGGAAGCUUCUGACAGGGCUGGGUGAUAAAUUGAUUUGAUCGAUUAGUUUGAAUCUGCAAUUUAAGGUUUCAUUUUUAGUAAAUCUGAAUUUUAUUUUGCUAUUGCAGUCAUUGGGCUUACAUUAAGAGAAUAGCGUGCAAUGCUGAAUAUGUUUAGUGUCAGGAUUUGCCUACGGAUGAACUCAGAACCACACACACGGGACUAAAAUUGAGAGUCUUUAUUUCAAGGUUGAUGGAAGGUUUGAUGAGGCUAGAGGAGCAGGUAGCACAGGAACCGGAGUGAAGAUGAUGGCAGGAGCUGACGGCCCGGAGCGAGAGUCCAUACUAAUCGAGGUGACCGGGAAGCUCAGUGCUGCAGGGCUAGCAGACCCUGUGGCAACACCAGGGCACAGAUCAGAACUUUUCCAGAGCGGCUAGUCAGGUUAGCCGUUCUCUGGAGACACCAGGGCACAGAGCAGAGCUUCUCCAGGGCGGCUAGUCAGGUUAGCAGUUCUCUGGAGACACCAGGGCACAGAGCAGAGCUUCUCCGGGAACAAACAGCAGAGUACAGAGUUUUUAGAGAGACUGGCAGGACUAACCUUAAACAAGAGAGCAGAAACAAAACUUCCAAGGCAAAAA